GGUGAUUAUUCCCAAAUGUCAGUUGUUUCGUUCCUUCGGAUAAAACGCUGCAGUUGUGCGACGCGCGGUGGUUGAUUCUUGGACAAAAUGGGACAAAAGUAGAAAAAAAUUGCUUAAAAAAUGGGAAAUUUUAAUAUUAAUCGACUGUGCGACGGUAUUCUCGGUAAGCAGCUGAGUCGACGGCGAACGUGUUAAACGGAAUGCUAGAUUUACUGCAUCCUUUACGGUCCGGUUUCGUCGGUCCCGCGGUUUUCGGCGGCAGAAGAAAACGCAAGCCUGCAGUCAUCAUGAGAAACGAAGUAAUAGAAUGUUGUAACAGCGCAGAGCUGAUGUCAUGCGUUAACCUUCUACUUUGCACGUACAAGCUGUUCACAGAAACGCACGCUUACUGCGCCGCUACACAAAACAGCUCGCCGGAGAGUAUUUUUCAGAGCGGUGUCCACCGGUCCGGCGAAAAAAGUUGCGAAGCGGUCGUAAAAUUGCCUAGGAAGUAGACGAAGGAACGUCCAAUGCGAUUGCUUCUUACGUAAUUACGAAUUCCGCGGUCGCGCUGCGGCUGUUACCGUUUCGUUAGGGCCUUAUUCCGACGAGACUUUCGGUGUCUGCUGAUUGAUUUCCGGAAAAUGCGCUGCUACUUGGAAAAAUUCCGAUACUGGGAAAAAUCAGACGAUCCUGAUCUCCCAUCUGGCUGCGGAGCGCGGCAGACACGACAUUGCAGUGGCAUUACAGAUCAUUAUGUAAUGUCAUAACGUUAUGUGAACGUUUUACAUUCGAUGCCUUGCACCAUUGCGGUCUCAAGGUCUCUACAUUGUUGUGUGUACAACGUGUUAACGCAUCGAUGCGAUCCAGGGACGUAUUCGCCGGAGAAAAUCCCAAUGGCGCCUCGUGACUCUACUCAUUGUAUAAUAAUAGUAGCUGGAAAAUGUGCUGCCACUAUUCAGCCGCUGCACCUUUUUCUGUUCUACAACUAAUUUCAUUCUAGCUCGAGUUCACAAUGCUCUACGUGCGGUUUGAGUCUCACCGCGACUUCCGGUUACAUUGCUUCCGUCGGAACCUGACUUUGCUAUUCUAAAUAUUUUAA